AAUAUUGGGCAAUGGGGGCAACCCUGAUCCAGCCAUGCUGCGUGUGUGAAGAAGGGCUUCGGAUUGUAAAGCACUGUAAGUUGGGAGGAAGGGCUUUAGGUUAAUACCCUGAAGUUUUGACGUUACCAACAGAAGAAGCACCGGCUAAAUCUUUGCAAGCAACCGCGGUACAACAGAGGGCGCAAGCGUUAAUCGGAAUUACUGUGCGUAAAGCGCGCGUAGGUGGUUCAGUAAGAUGGGUGUGAACUCCCCGGGCUUAACCUGGGAACUGCUUUCAUAACUGCUGAGCUAGAGUACGGUAGAGGGUAGUGGAAUUUCCUGUGUAGCGGUGAAAUGCGUAGAUAUAGGAAGGAACACCAGUGGCGAAGGCGACUACCUGGACUGAUACUGACACUGAGGUGCGAAAGCGUGGGGAGCAAAC
rnacentral:rRNA from 1 species